AGGAAUUUUAUUUCAAAAUCCAUUGAAGCAAAAAUAUGUGCAAAGGAUUAAAAAGCUUUGCUUUUUUGCCAUUACAAAGCAUUUCUUAUGAAACCAUUAUGAUUUCAUUUGAAAAACCUUUUACACUCGCAUCUUUGGAUCUUCUACCUACACGCAAAUUUGCAACUGUUAUUGAUUGACAUCGGAGUGUUCUGGCAUUUUGUAAUGAAAAUUUUAUUUUUAUCCUUAAAAUGCUUGUGAAUACUAAUGAAGAACAAUAAUUUUUAAAAAAUAAGUAUCCGACGACGUGCCUUUAUGACUUCAUUUUGUGAAAUAACUUUGUUAUAAGACUAUCAAAAUGGAAUGACUUUGUCAGACUUUUUUUUAUUGCUAUAAGAUUCUGAAGAAGAAAAUACUUUUGAAAUUCACUCUGGUACUGAAGGAUGAAACCGGAAUUUGGUAAAAGCGAUGUUUGAAAGUAAAAUCCAAUCUGAUAUGACAGAGAAGAAAGUUUCAUUUCUUUCAAUUUGUCUUACAUAAGAUAAAAGUACUUUAAUAUUGCUGCAAGAAUGUACAGCAGCACUUUAUUCUGGGUUCAAAUGUCUUAAACAUCAGACAUGGUAUGAUUUUACCGACUCUUUUUUUUUUUAUUCACCCAACUCCUAAAGUAUACCAAGCUAUAUGAAACCGAAGAAAGAGAGAAAGCAAUUGUCAUAAGUGCUAUGAUGGAAGGAUGUUCACUAUUUCAAAGUACCUAUAGCUUAGCCAGCUAGUAGCAAACUCCAUUUAAAAGACAGAGACUACGGAUAUGGCAUGGAUCCUGGAAUUCUGCUAGUUGACUUGAGUGACACAAUGUUGAUGAGAAAGUGAAGAAGAAGAAGAAGACGAAGUCACACAAGAAACAGAUUCAGUUCAACAAGAGGGUAAAAGACGACUAAGAUGCAGCCUGACAAAGUGGUGUUCUUGAACUUCAUUAUCUGCUCUGCAUUCUUCUUGAAAAGAAGGAAGUGAAAGGAUAUCCUACGAAGAUGUCACUUCGUGGCAAACUCAUUUAUAAGUGGGGAAAGUCAUGUUGGUGUAUAAAGUUUUAGAAUAUUCUAAACCAAAAAUGUAUACACUACUGAAGGCAUUUUUGACGAAUAUUUCAAAUGACGUAAACGGAGUUAUCUUACCGAGAAAGUUUUUUAUAUAAUUUGGAUCUAAAAAGCUGCAACUUAAUGGACAUAGAAAUAAGGGUCUACCACGGAAGUUGAAAAGAAUAUAUGAAGACACCCUAAUUGCUUAUGCAAACCAUCAGGUAAAAAAAAAAAACUUGAGAAAGUAGUAACAGGCUCAUCCAAAAAAGGCAAAUUACAUUAAGAGAUUCGUUUGGAAAAUUACAUUAUAAUGCUUGACGGCAGUUUUUUAAGGACUCUAGUUACAUACCUACAAAAAAAAAAACUAAACUUGAACGAAACGAGAUGUUUACUUCCAGGGAAUAGUGCAUUACAGAAUUUAGUUUUUUUUUUUCUAAUUCGAUAGAUCAGCUGUUGGCAUUUUUGCUUUUGAGAAGACGCAACUUGUGUUUGGCAAAGUUCAUAUCAUAACAAAGACCAACAUUGAAUAUUAAAAAGAGAAUAUUGAUUUCUUAAAAUUAAUUUGAUGAAAAAUGAAAUAGAAAUAUAAAUAUUUUCAAAAAAAAAAAAUAAAUCAACACCUAUGUACCUAUAAUUAAAACAACCACAAAAUUAAUUCAAUGUAAUUGCUGCUUUGUCUUUUGAUUAUUAUUAUUAUUGUUUGUCGCAACCACACAUACCGCCAAAAGGCUGAAAGCAUUUAAUUUAACGAGAAAUUCUCAUUAAUUUAGAAAUUCAAAACAUGCCUUCUGUGGUAGAUUCCUAUAAAUGUAGCUUUGGUUAUAUGAAUGUAUGUCGACUUUUGCAAAAAUAUUCAUCAUUUUGUUUAGUGCAAAUAAAUCUAUGCACAUCAUUGACAUGGGAGUACGUAUCAUAGCAAUCAAUCUGAAUGAGGUGAGGAUUUUCUAAUUUUGGGA